GCGCUUGCCGCCAACCAAAAUUCCUGUACCGUAUUGGCCUCCGAAGGAGGGGUCGUGGGUUCGAAUCCCGCCGAGUGCGCCA
rnacentral:tRNA from 1 species